AGUGAACGCUGGCGGUAGGCCUAACACAUGCAAGUCGAACGGCAGCACAGUAAGAGCUUGCUCUUACGGGUGGCGAGUGGCGGACGGGUGAGGAAUACAUCGGAAUCUACUUUUUCGUGGGGGAUAACGUAGGGAAACUUACGCUAAUACCGCAUACGACCUGCGGGUGAAAGCAGGGGAUCUUCGGACCUUGCGCGAUUGAAUGAGCCGAUGUCGGAUUAGCUGGUUGGCGGGGUAAAGGCCCACCAAGGCGACGAUCCGUAGCUGGUCUGAGAGGAUGAUCAGCCACACUGGAACUGAGACACGGUCCAGACUCCUACGGGAGGCAGCAGUGGGGAAUAUUGGACAAUGGGCGCAAGCCUGAUCCAGCCAUACCGCGUGGGUGAAGAAGGCCUUCGGGUUGUAAAGCCCUUUUGUUGGGAAAGAAAAGCAGCAGGUUAAUACCCCGCUGUUCUGACGGUACCCAAAGAAUAAGCACCGGCUAACUUCGUG
rnacentral:rRNA from 1 species